CCUCCGUGACAAACACCGGUUUCCGUGUCAACAUUUAACUGUCCGUCAUAUAUGAAAUUUUUUAUAAUUAGUAUUUUUAUUAUUAUUAGAUGAUAAAACAUGAUUAAUACUUUAUGCGUGACUUGUCUUUUUAAUUUUUUUCAUAUUUUUUCAAAUAAGACGGACGGUCAAAUGUUAGACACGGAAACUAGGGUUUGUCUUUUU
rfam:Oryza barthii chromosome 12, whole genome shotgun sequence.